UACGUAGGGUGCAAGCGUUAAUCGGAAUUACUGGGCGUAAAGCGUGCGCAGGCGGUUAUGUAAGACAGGUGUGAAAUCCCCGGGCUUAACCUGGGAACUGCAUUUGUGACUGCAUAGCUAGAGUACGGUAGAGGGGGGAUGGAAUUCCGCGUGUAGCAGUGAAUGCGUAGAUAUGCGGAGGAACACCGAUGGCGAAGGCAAUCCCCUGGACCUGUACUGACGCUCAUGCAC
rnacentral:rRNA from 1 species